CGGGGCGUAGCUCAGUUUGGCAGAGCGCUCGGUUUGGGACCGAGAGGCCGCCAGUUCAAGUCUGGCCGCCCCGA
rnacentral:tRNA from 1 species